rnacentral:rRNA from 1 species
GUGGGGAAUCUUGGACAAUGGAGGAAACUCUGAUCCAGCCAUGCCGCGUGAGUGAUGAAGGCCUUCGGGUUGUAAAACUCUUUCGGCGGGGACGAUAAUGACGGUACCCGCAGAAGAAGCUCCGGCUAACUUCGUGCCAGCAGCCGCGGUAAUACGAAGGGGGCUAGCGUUGUUCGGAAUUACUGGGCGUAAAGCGCGCGCAGGCGGCUUUUCAAGUCAGGGGUGAAAGCCCAGAGCUCAACUCUGGAAUUGCCUUUGAAACUGUAAGGCUGGAGUACGGGAGAGGUGAGUGGAAUUCCCAGUGUAGAGGUGAAAUUCGUAGAUAUUGGGAAGAACACCGGUGGCGAAGGCGGCUCACUGGCCCGUUACUGACGCUCAGGCGCGACAGCGUGGGGAUCAAACAGG